GAUGAACGCUAGCGGCAGGCUUAACACAUGCAAGUCGAGGGGCAGCACUGGUAGCAAUACCUGGUGGCGACCGGCAAACGGGUGCGGAACACGUACGCAACUUACCCUAAACAGGUGAAUAGCCCUCGGAAACGAGGAUUAAUACACCGUAAACAAUAUUGGUGGCAUCAUUGGUAUAGAAUAGCUGAGGCGGUGUAGGAUGGGCGUGCGUCCCAUUAGCUAGUUGGUAGGGUAAUGGCUUACCAAGGCGACGAUGGGUAACUGGUGUGAGAGCACGACCAGUCACACGGGCACUGAGACACGGGCCCGACUCCUACGGGAGGCAGCAGUGAGGAAUAUUGGUCAAUGGACGCAAGUCUGAACCAGCCAUGCCGCGUGAAGGAUGAAGGCGUUCUGCGUUGUAAACUUCUUUUAUCAGGGAAUAAACCUCAGUAUUCUUAUUGAGCCGACGGUACCUGAUGAGUAAGCACCGGCUAACUCCGUGCCAGCCGCCGCCGUAAGAC
rnacentral:rRNA from 1 species